rnacentral:lncRNA from 1 species
AUUCCAUGAGCUACACUUCGAUCCUAUAAAGGCAUGCAGGCAGCUGCAUGAGAGGUGGAAAGAGAGAGAAUGAUUGAGAUGAAAUCACCACCAACAGCUCCUGCAGGCAGAAAGGCAGCAUUGGAUCCCAGCCACGACACUUCUGCAACCUGGUUUGAAUGGGCCUGAUGGGAUGCCAUAAUGUAACCUACACUGAACAAGGACCUUGCUGAUCUCUUCAAAGAGGAAACUGAUAAAGUAUGAUGACUGUGCUGCUGACUGUGACUUUCCUUAUGCAUCCUACCUAUCUUGUCUCUUUUUCCAUCCAGAUGAAUGAGAUUCUAAGGCUGAGAGCAGGUGUUUGUGAUGAGAUCCCAUGCUGUGACAUGCAUGCAGCACAUUCUUACAUGAAAAGCCCUGGCUGAUGAAAUGACCACAGGAAGACAACAUGGAACCCUCCCGGCAGGAUCAGAAGAAGCUUAAUUAAGAUCUGUGAUUAAUUUUAAAGGACCUUUUGUUGGAAACAGAGCAAGGAACUUCAGUCUGGCUUUCAAAAGUGCUGAACACCCAAAGUUCCUACUGCGGUCUCCAGGAGUUACAGGUCUGUACCCUAGUGAUGUGCCCCGAGUCCAUCAUUCCCCCGAGUGGAUAUUUUCUGAAUAUUCAUCAGUGCUUCCACACCUGGGAACAGACACAGUACUGCACAGAUCAUGCCAGUACCAAAUCGAAGACCCAUAUCUCUGGGUGCUGACUGCUGAGGUAGCCUGUGCACCCCUUCGGUGGGAGGGUUUCUCUGUCGGCAGAUACAGGUGUGUAUCAUCAGGCACGUCAUUCGCUUGUGCCCAGUUAGCAAGUGCUCCAGACUGGUGAUCUGUGAUCUUUAUCACUCCCCCUGACUCGUUUUGUCAGGGUAGACUUAGUCUGUAAUGGAGUUCUGUUUCCAUCCAUGUUGUUGAUAAAGUUCUUGGGUAGCGGAGAGGCAAAUUAAUCUGUAGAGGAGCUGGGCCAAGUCUCACCUCCUUGACUGAUGUCAUUCUGCUUUGAUUCUU